UCGGGAAUAUUGCGCAAUGGAGGAAACUCUGACGCAGUGACGCCGCGUGCAGGAAGAAGGUUUUCGGAUUGUAAACUGCUUUAGACAGGGAAGAAAAAGACAGUACCUGUAGAAUAAGCUCCGGCUAACUACGUGCCAGCAGCCGCGGUAAUACGUAGGGAGCAAGCGUUAUCCGGAUUUAUUGGGUGUAAAGGGUGCGUAGACGGGAAGACAAGUUAGUUGUGAAAUCCCUCGGCUUAACUGAGGAACUGCAACUAAAACUAUCAUUCUUGAGUGCUGGAGAGGAAAGUGGAAUUCCUAGUGUAGCGGUGAAAUGCGUAGAUAUUAGGAGGAACACCAGUGGCGAAGGCGACUUUCUGGACAGUAACUGACGUUGAGGCUCGAAAGCGUGGGGAGCAAACAGGAUUAGAUACC
rnacentral:rRNA from 1 species